rnacentral:rRNA from 1 species
UACGUAGGGGGCAAGCGUUGUCCGGAAUCAUUGGGCGUAAAGAGCGCGUAGGCGGUCCGGUAAGUCGGUUGUGAAAACUGGGGGCUCAACCCUCAGAGGCCGACCGAUACUGUCGGGCUAGAGUCCGGAAGAGGCGAGUGGAAUUCCUGGUGUAGCGGUGAAAUGCGCAGAUAUCAGGAGGAACACCAAUGGCGGAGGCAGCUCGCUGGGACGGUACUGACGCUGAGGCGCGAAAGCGUGGGGAGCAAACAGG